AAGGAGUCGUCUUCGUAUGCGAGUGUUUGGGUGUCAAACCCCUACGCGUAAUGAAAGUGAACGUAGGUGAGAGCUUCGGCGCAUCACCGACCGAUCCUGAUGUUCUCGGAUGGAUUUGAGUAAGAGCAUGCGGGGCCGGACCCGAAAGAAGGUGAACUAUGCCUGUAUAGGGUGAAGCCAGAGGAAACUCUGGUGGAGGCUCGCAGCGGUUCUGACGUGCAAAUCGAUCGUCAAAUAUGGGCAUGGGAGCGAAAGACUAAUCGAACCUUCUAGUAGCUGGUUUCCGC
rnacentral:misc_RNA from 1 species